rnacentral:rRNA from 1 species
UCAGCUUGUCGGUGAGGUAACGGCUCACCGAGGCAACGACGGGUAGCCGGACUGAGAGGUUGGUCGGCCACAUCGGGACUGAGACACUGCCCGGACACCUACGGGUGGCUGCAGUAACGAAUAUUCCGCAAUGGGCGAAAGCCUGACGGAGCAAUGCCGCGUGGAGGACGAAUUCCCUCGGGAUGUAAACUCCUUUGAGGGUCGNUGAAAACAAGGAACNGUUAAUANGCGUUCUGCGUUGAUCUAACCCAGAUAAAGCCUCGGCUAAUUCCGUGCCAGCAGCCGCGGUAAGACGGGANGAGGCAAGCGUUGUUCGGAAUCACUGGGCUUAAAGCGCGUGUAGGCGGNCCGGGCAAGUACCUUGUGAAAGCCCUCGGCUCAACCGAGGAACGNGCAGGGUAUACUGCUCNGGCUUGAGGCGGGUAGGGGUGCCUGGAACUCUAGGUGGAGCGGUGAAAUGCGUUGAUAUUUAGAGGAACGCCUGUGGCGAAAGCGGGGCACUGGGCCCGUCCUGACGCUGAGACGCGAAAGCGUAGGUAGCAAACGGGAUUAGAUACCCCGGUAGUCUACGCCGUAAACGAUGCGCACUAGGUUCAUNCAUCUCUGACAGUUUGUGGGCCGGAACAAAAGUAAUAAGUGCGCCGCCUGGGGAGUACGGCCGCAAGGCUAAAACUCAAAGGAAUUGACGGGGGCUCACACAAGCGGUGGAGGAUGUGGCUUAAUUCGAGGCAACGCGAAGAACCUUACCUGGGUUUGACAUGCUUGGAUUAGCUAUAUGAAAGUAUAGUGACGCGGUUUACCGUGGAACUUGCACAGGUGCUGCAUGGCUGUCGUCAGCUCGUGUUGUGAGGUGUCAGGUUAAGUCCUUCAACGAGCGAAACCCUUGUCGUUAGUUGCCAGCGCGUAAUGGCGGGCACUUUAGCGAGACUGCCGGUGUUAAACCGGAGGAAGGUGGGGAUGACGUCAAGUCCUCAUGGCCUUUAUGCCCAGGGUUGCACACGUCCUACAAUGGGAAGGUACAGAGCGACGCAAUACCGCGAGGUGGAGCAAAUCGCAGAAAACUUCCCCCAGUUCGGAUUGUAGUCUGCAACUCGACUACAUGAAGUUGGAAUCGCUAGUAAUCGCGUAUCAGCUACGACGCGGUGAAUAUGUUCCUGAGCCUUGUACACACCGCCCGUCAAGUCAUGGAAGCUGGGA